GAUGAACGCUGGCGGCGUGCCUAAUACAUGCAAGUCGAGCGAACAGAUAAGGAGCUUGCUCCUUUGACGUUAGCGGCGGACGGGUGAGUAACACGUGGGUAACCUACCUAUAAGACUGGGAUAACUUCGGGAAACCGGAGCUAAUACCGGAUAACAUUUGGAACCGCAUGGUUCUAAAGUGAAAGAUGGUUUUGCUAUCACUUAUAGAUGGACCCGCGCCGUAUUAGCUAGUUGGUAAGGUAACGGCUUACCAAGGCAACGACACGUAGCCGACCUGAGAGGGUGAUCGGCCACACUGGAACUGAGACACGGUCCAGACUCCUACGGGAGGCAGCAGUAGGGAAUCUUCCGCAAUGGGCGAAAGCCUGACGGAGCAACGCCGCGUGAGUGAUGAAGGGUUUCGGCUCGUAAAACUCUGUUAUUAGGGAAGAACAAACGUGUAAGUAACUGUGCACGUCUUGACGGUACCUAAUCAGAAAGCCACGGCUAACUACGUG
rnacentral:rRNA from 1 species